AACGAACGCUGGCGGCAGGCCUAACACAUGCAAGUCGAGCGCCCCGCAAGGGGAGCGGCGGACGGGUGAGUAACGCGUGGGAACGUACCCUUUGCUACGGAAUAGCCUCGGGAAACUGGGAGUAAUACCGUAUGUGCCCUUCGGGGGAAAGAUUUAUCGGCAAAGGAUCGGCCCGCGUUGGAUUAGGUAGUUGGUGGGGUAAUGGCCUACCAAGCCGACGAUCCAUAGCUGGUUUGAGAGGAUGAUCAGCCACACUGGGACUGAGACACGGCCCAGACUCCUACGGGAGGCAGCAGUGGGGAAUCUUAGGCAAUGGGCGCAAGCCUGAUCUAGCCAUGCCGCGUGAGCGAUGAAGGCCUUAGGGUUGUAAAGCUCUUUCAGUGGGGAAGAUAAUGACUGUACCCACAGAAGAAGCCCCGGNUAACUCCGUG
rnacentral:rRNA from 1 species